rnacentral:rRNA from 1 species
ACGCUGGCGGAAUGCUUACACAUGCAAGUCGAGCGGCAGCGCGGGGCAACCUGGCGGCGAGCGGCGAACGGGUGAGUAAUGCAUCGGAACAUGUCCAUUCGUGGGGGAUAGCCCGGCGAAAGCCGGAUUAAUACCACAUACGCCCUGAGGGGGAAAGUGGGGGACCGCAAGGCCUCACGCGAAUGGGUUGGCCGAUGUCCGAUUAGCUAGUUGGUGAGGUAAAGGCUUACCAAGGCGAUGAUCGGUAGCUGGUCUGAGAGGAUGAUCAGCCACACUGGGACUGAGACACGGCCCAGACUCCUACGGGAGGCAGCAGUGGGGAAUUUUGGACAAUGGGGGCAACCCUGAUCCAGCCAUUCCGCGUGAGUGAAGAAGGCCUUCGGGUUGUAAAGCUCUUUUGUCCGGAACGAAACGGUGAGCGUGAAUAUCGCUCGCUACUGACGGUACCGGAAGAAUAAGCACCGGCUAACUAC